GUGACGAGAGUACUCUAUUCUUCAUAAUUCAGGUAACUAGUCUUGUCUCUAUUCUUCAUAAUUCAGGUAACUAGUCUUCCCGUCCAGCCGCCGCCGCCUAGUCGCAGUCGCAGUCGCGACAGCCUCCAUUUAUGUCGCCGGUUGUGAUCCCCCCGGCACACACUCGAUUGACUAGAGAAAGCAGAUGACUUUAUUACUUGAGCAGGGGGACAGAAUUAUUCAGUGAAAAAAGAUGAAUAGAAUCUGUUCACAAUUUAUUAUGCAAUCCCGAUUGAAUUUCGGCGACGAAAAGAGUAAUCUUGCUUAAACCAUUAGUGGAUUAGACCUGAGAGCCUUCUUCAGCAAGGAGACAUGAAAGACUGGGCGCACAAGCGAUCCCUCUGGUUCUUGCGCAAGGGCACAUAUUUCUGUGGAAAAGGUUGUAACUUCAGCUCGUUUGGCUCGAAUUUGGUGGAUGCUCGCUCCAUCAAGACUGGUUUUGACUUAGAGAUCAGCCGGUACAACUUCCAGCUCAAGCAUUUGGUUGCACAGAGCAAGCUCUCCGAGGCAAGCAAAUUGUUCGAUGAAAUGCCCCGCAGAAACAUAUGCUCGGUGAACAUGAUGAUCUCCUGUCAUGUCAACUCAGGCAAUCUUUCUUACGCCCAUCAGUUGUUUGACGGUAUGGGUGAUCGGACUGCGGUGUCGUGGACGAUUCUCAUGGGGGGAUACGCACGAAGUAAUAAACCUAUGGAUGCUUUUAAUCUUUAUGCCGAGAUGUUUAGGUCGGGGAUGAAACCCGAUCAUGUGACUGUGACGACUCUUUUGUCGAGCUGCGAUGAGACUAUGACUAGAAAUGAUGUGCACCAGGUUCAUUCUCAUAUCACUAAAUUAGGAUUUGGCUGUGACCUUGGUGUUUGUAACAGUUUGAUUGAUGCUUACUGCAAAUCUCGAAAUCUUAGUUUAGCUUUUCAGCUGUUUAAGGAAAUGGUGGCGGGGGAUAUCAUUACUUAUAACACGUUGAUUACAGGGUAUGCGAAAGAAGGGAUUCGUGAAGAAGCGAUAAAGCUUUUUUCAGAAAUGCAGCAUUUUGGUUUUAGGCCGUCAGAUUUCACUUUUGCGGCCCUUUUACACGCAUGUGCUGGAAUGGAUGGUGCGACCCUCGGGCAACAGGUUCACGGUCUGGUGAUCAAGACAAACUUCCAUUGGGAUGUAUUUGUUGGCAAUGCGCUUCUUGAUUUUUACUCCAAACAAGAUUGUAUGGAAGAUGUGACGAAGCUGUUUGAUGAAAUGAUGGAGUUGGAUGGUGUAUCUUACAAUAUUGUCAUCACAAGUUAUGCGUGGAACGGAAAAAUUGAAGAGGUUUUCGAGCUAUUCAGAGAGUUACAGUUGAGCAAGUUCAGUAGAAGAAACUUUCCCUUUGCAACUUUGUUGAGUAUAGCGGCAAAUACGCAAGAUAUAGAGAUGGGAAGGCAGAUCCAUGCGCAGACGCUUUUGACAACCGCUGAUUCAGAGAAUCAAGUAGGGAAUGCCCUUGUUGACAUGUAUGCCAAAUGUGGCAGAUUUGAUGAAGCAGAUGUUAUAUUUAAAAAUUUGGCUAGCAAAAGCUCGGUUUCCUGGACAGCAAUGAUAUCAGCCUAUAUUCAACUAGGCCUCCAUGACGAAGCGCUUAAGCUGUUCAAUGAGAUGCGAGGGAAUGAUGUCCGUGGGGACCAAGCAACAUUUGCUUCUAUUUUGAGAGCUGCAGCGAACCUGGCCUUAGUUUCACUUGGGAAGCAAUUGCACUCGUGCAUCAUUGGUGCUGGGUUUAUGUCAAAUGUCUUCUGUGGUAGUGCACUCCUAGACAUGUAUGCUAAAUGUGGAUCUUUGAAGGAUGCGAUCGUAGUUUUCAGAGAUAUGCCUGAGAGAAACACGAUAUCAUGGAACGCUCUGAUAUCUGCAUAUGCUCAGAACGGAGAUGGUAAAGCCACUCUGAGGUCCUUCGAAGAGAUGGUAAAGUCGGGUCUUCAUCCCGAUCCUGUUAGCUUUCUUAAUGUUUUGACUGCCUGCAGCCACUCGGGGCACGUUGAUGAAGCAUUAGAGCAUUUCAAUCUCAUGACCCAGACUUACAAAGUUGUUCCAAGGAAAGAGCACUAUGCCUCGUUGAUAGAUGCACUAUGCAGACGGGGCAGAUUUAAGGAAGCGGAGGUGUUCAUGGCCCAAAUGCCGUUCACACCAGAUGAAAUCAUAUGGUCGUCCAUUUUAUAUUCAUGCAGGAUCCAUAAGAAUCAAGAGUUAGCUAAGAAAGCCGCAGAUGAACUUUUUAAGAUAGAUGAGCUUAGGGAUGCUGGUGCCUACGUUACCAUGUCUAAUAUUUAUGCAGAGGCAGGAGACUGGGAACACAUGGCGAAGGUGAAGAAGGCUAUGAGAGAUCGUGGAGUGCAAAAAUUGGCUGCUUAUAGCUGGGUUGAAGUUAAACAAAAGGUUCACGCCUUCACUGCCAAUGAUAGGACUCAUCCACUUAGUGAGGAGAUUGCGAGAAAGAUAGACAUUUUGACGGAACAGAUGGAAAAGGAAGGCUACAAGCCUGAUGUUAGUUGUACUCUUCAAAAUGUGAGUGACGAACUAAAAGCAGAAUCACUGAAAUAUCACAGUGAAAGGCUGGCAAUUGCGUUUGCACUCAUAACUACUCCAGAGGGAUCGCCUAUACUGGUGAUGAAAAACCUAAGAGCUUGUGUAGACUGCCAUGCUGCUAUUAAAGUGAUCUCAAGAAUUGUUAAACGGGAAAUUACUGUUAGGGAUUGUAAUAGGUUCCAUCAUUUUAAAGAUGGAGUAUGUUCGUGUGGUGAUUAUUGGUGAUCUAUAUUCCUCCGCACAUGAAUGGCUAUACCUUGGUUUGUUUUAGCUCAACCCAUUAGCUUCCUCAUUUGAAAGAGCAAUAGCGACGUCAAGGUUAUAUCAAGCUUCUUGGUGGCUGCUCAGGCUAUCAGUGGACUCAACGACGUGUAAGUACUUGUCAAAGAUGUCGAGAAGAUGUAUGAACUAUGCCUGCCCUGAUGGCAAGUUGUCGCGAAAUUAUUGUUGAAAGUAUUCAUCAUCAGUCCAAUGUAUCUGCUAUGCGCAAGAAUAACCCUCAGUGCAUGCUAAAACAACGUCCCAAGUUGUCUGGCCACCAUCGCGGUUGCUCGACAAAGUAAACUUCGAAGGCCCCUUUCCGCACCAAGCUCUUAGUCACAAUGGACGUACACGUACUGAUGGGUUGUUGGUGUAGGAACCGCUGGAGGGUUCACAUAGUUCUAUUGAGCUCGAAGUGUUGUUAUAAUUGGGAUCCAGACUUUGAAUUGAAAGAGAAGAUGGAUUUGGAUGUGUAUGAAUAUUGAAUUAUUGAUGGGUUUAGGAAAUAUUGGAGAAUAACAAAUGAAGAAAUGCGAAUAUUUGAUCAAACUAAAUUACUUCAUCGCGUAAAUAUUAGAUUGCGUAAUCGAUCAAACUAAUUA